ensembl:lncRNA
ACAGGAGUUCCCUGGUGAUCAAUCCUCCAAAUUUCCAGCAGAUGGUGCUACAACACCUAACAGAAAAACAAGUGUAGAAAUGCGGAAAUCAAAACGUAGUUACAAAAAAAAGUUUAGAAAUGCGGAAAUAAAAACGUAGUUAUAAAAAAAAGUUCCCCAAAAACGUCGAUACUGUGUUGAAGACGAGCAGCUGCUGAACCCAGCUAUCAAAAGCGUAUUCUCCGUAGUGUAAAUGUAACCGACUGAGUAGGCAUAGUUAUAUAGCUCCUGUCACCCAAUGGCAGGCCUUCAAUGUGUUAAGAUGGAUACAAUAUACAACCUUCUCCAGCAGCACAGACUGGACACCUACCACCACAAAUUCCUCACUUUGGGUGUCCAAGACGAGAGAGAUUUCACCGAUAGUGUAAAUGGUGAAGAUUUAGACAAAAUGGGUUUCAGUCAAGUAGAGAAGAAUCGCUUUGAAAAAAUGAAAGAUUUCAUCCAAAGACACAGAGCGCCACAGCAAGCGAUGCCUGUACAAAAACCAAUGGAGUCUUUCCAACUGUGGUACACAUACCCCCACUGUCCUGAGCUAAAAGAGAUCAGAGACAUGGAUCCUGCUACCAACACCGUUGAAGACCUGAUGCUAAGGAUCUGCCACCAAGAGGGCAUUGAGAACUCUAAAACUGUGUGCCUCUACACAGUUGAUGGAAUGCCUCUAACUGAUGAUCCUUUCUUCAACACAUGGUCUUUGAAAGACAGGCACAUUGAAAUUGGAAGUGAGCUCUAUGCCAUGUUUACACCCAAGGAGAACUUGAGACCAGCCCUGCUAGUGACACUACAAGAAAUGACUGACAUGACAGGAGAGGAUAAUGUUCGAUGCCACAUCAUGCUCAAGAUGUGAACGAUGUGGAGUUGGACAGACUUUGCUAGAUUGUGGAAUCAAUGAGGAGUCAACUGUGGUCUUUUCUCUGUCCUCCUUCCCUGAUGAGCGUCCAGACACUAUGGAAUUCUACUUCAAUGAUGUCGUACCCUCAGUGCAACAAUCCCAGAAAGGACUCAGUGCUUUCUUUUCUUCACUUUAUGCCAUUAACAAUAGAGAACACCGUUCUGGAGAUGUAUUAAGCAAAGUGAUUGCAUACAUCCGAAAGCUCAGUGGGUGCAAUCCUUUGGCCCAAAGUCUGCAUCAGCUGUUGUAUAGAAAUGAGGUUGGAACAAGGACCCAGAAGGUUGCUAUCGUUGAAGGAUUGUACAAUCUCUUCAGAGAGCUGUUGCCAAGCUUCCACAAAAGAAGAGGUGACAAAAUCAUUGAAGACUCAGAUGUUUUUGAGAAUGCACCAGUGUGCUGGGCCUACCUGUUAUCUGAAGCAAAGAAAGAGAGUUCACAACAUGAGGUCUAUGUACCAAUAGUCUUGAACUCUCAACCUGGAGAACGUUUCUGCGACCCAGUUCGAGUACCUGGGUUACCAGAUGUCUUUGAGAGAGAGUAUGUUCUGCAGAAAAUCAAAGAUGGAGAGAAAAUCCCAAACUGCUCUGUGGAGAUCCUGACAGAUACUUCAAUGUCUAGAGCCUCUGAUGUUGAAAAGAUUUUGCUCAGUCUGCCUCCAUUCAUCAAAACAUUCCCUAAGUGGGCUUCAUCUGGACUUGUGACUGGCCAAAAUUUUCAGAUUGUUCUCGAUGACACAUUUGCCAAGAUGAACGAAGAAGUGAAAGAAUACGUUAAUCUGACAGUGACUCCAGCAUUACAGUUGAAGGAUGUUGGAGUAUAUGGGCCACGUCUCGUCUUCUUG